rnacentral:lncRNA from 1 species
GUGUAAUUGUGGGGUUUAUGAGCUUUUUAGCGUGAGAAGAAGGCAUGGAAUAAUAAAGGGUGUGGGGGUAUGGUCCUACAAUACAGGGUAAACUAACCUAAACGAUCUUUUAGUUUUAAUGCACUAAAAAACUAAAAAUCAAAGAUAUUGAAAAAGUUGGUGGUUUUAAUCAAUGAAUGUAUUUGAGGAGGUUUUCUUUCAUAACUUUUUUACGGAUCAGCUAUCUAUAUCCAUACUAGACUUUGAUUUCAGGGUCCAAAUGGGUCUAAGAUGUUCAGCACUUUUGGUUGUAUGUUGGUUUUCAGAAUGUGAAAUUUCACC